AGUCCAUAUCUCAGAUACUAUAAGCAAUAGGUCUAGUAUAUUCGGUGUAUGGAAGGACUGUAAGGUGUACAUGUCCAACUGGCAGGUGUCAUCUGACCUUGACCUCAUUUUCAUGGUUCAGUGGUUAUAGUUAAGUUUUUGUUAUUUUGGUCUGUUUUUCUUAUACUGUAUGCAAUAGGUCUACUAUAUUUGGUGUAUGGAAUGAUUGUAAGGUGUACAUGUCUAGCUGGCAGGUGUCAUCUGACCUUGACCUCAUUUUCAUGGUUCAGUGGUCAAAGUUAAGUUUUUGAGUUUUGGUCUUUUUUUCUAAUACUGUAUGCAAUAGUUUAACUAUAUUUGGUGUAUGGAAAUAUUUUAUGAUCUAUAUGUCAGUCAUGCAGGUUUUAUUUGACCUUGACCUCAUUUUCAAGGUUCAUUGCUCAGUGUUAAGUUUUUGUGUUUUGGUCUGUUUUUCUUAAACUAUAAGCAAUAGGUCAACUAUAUUUGUUGUAUGGAAGAAUUGUUAGCUGUACAUGCCUGCCUAGCAUGGUUCAUCUGACCUUGACCUCAUUUUCAUGGUUCAUUGGUCAAUGUUUAGUUUACUUGGUUAAUGUUAAGUUUAUGUGACAGUUGUAAUAAAGCUUGAUAUUUAAGACUAUCAACAUAAUAUCAAUGAUUAGUAAAGAAGGCGAGACAUUUCAGCGUGUGCACUCUUGUUUGUAU